CUUUGUCUAGCCACUGGUAAUUUGGGGAGACUUAAGCCUCUAUCAGAAACUUGAGAUGGAAACUCCCUCAUGCCUGCUUAUAUUGUCUGCCCAGCCAAUUACCUUGUGUAGAAAACAGAUAAAUGUUUUAUUCACUCAUAUAGCAGACUUUUUGGAGAUACUUUGCCACAAUAGAGAGAAAACCAGACACGAUUCUUGCACUCAUUCUGCUAGCCUUUAGUGAGUGAGAGAGACGUGAAUCAAAUAACCACACAAGACAUAACGUUCCAACACGGUUAGUGCUAAGAAAGAGAAGUACACCACAGUGCUAGAAAUGCUCAUGUAAUUGGGGAAUUUACCUAGUCAUGGAGAUCAGAAAAGGAUAUCCUGUGUAAGCCAGGGGAGAACUAGGGUGUGAUCAGUGAGUAAUAGUUAGCAGUCAGAUAGAGGUAACGUCUGAAGCCCUGUCCGGAAGACAGCAUGGCAAGCUCCAGGAACUGAGGAAGUUUGGGUUGCUGUGCAUUGGCAGUGCAAAAAAUGUGGUGCAAGAAGGCUGAGGUGGGAGUCGGGAAGUUGUGUCAAGGAUUUGGUCUUUCGUCUCUGGUCUUUAUGCUAAGAGCAAGAGGAAGCCAAUGGAAGGUUCUAAGCAAGAGCAAGGAUGGAGGAGGGGAAAGAGGUGGCGAAAGGGACUCUGCAGAUGUGAUUAAGUAAAAGAUCUUGAAGUGGGAAGAUUAUCCCGGAUUAUCCAGGACAAAGGAAAAGGAAACAAAGAGAAGAAAGAAACAAGCAUGAUAGAAGGUGAUGCUAGUAACAGCUAUGAUAAAAGAAGAAAGAAGAUAUUUGGAAAAGGAAAAAGAUAUGGCUGCCUCUGCUGCUGGAGUUAGAGGAAAGCAACUGUGCUCUGGUGUCUGAGUCCAGUGGAAUGUUCUGUUCAUCCCCAGAAUUCGACGUGAAGUGGGUUACGUAGAGAUAUGCCAGAGCCUCCUCCCUCCCCUGCCUCGUUGUGCCUGUUUAAGUCUCUUUUUCAACUGAGGACCCAAGAAAACAAGUGCCAACCAUUGCAGCAUAACAAAGGAGGUCUUAGAUCAUGUAUCAGGACUGAAAAAGAGAUGCCAAACCAGUUUUGUCAACUUUACCUAAGAUGUAUCUUCAAGUUAUACAAGCAAAGAUUAAGAAUUUGGCCAAAAAAUUGAAGAACUGUGCCAUGUACAUCUCCAGUCCUUCUGCUGCACCGCCCCCCCCAUGGGAGAGGGAAGCAUAGAGCGUCCCCUGGAAGAACUUCUUUGGGAUCCCUCAGAGAACUUAAUACGUGUCUCCUGGAACUUAAGGAAUAUAGUGGAGUGGUGCCUUACUCAAGUUUCAGGAAGCCGAAGUGGAAGAAGCUGUGUAAAGUGACAAUGCCAGCAGGAUAGGGGCUACAGCUGAGAGUUAACUGCAAUCACUCAGAAAGCCACAGGUCCCUAGAGAGGCAAGGACUCUUCACCACAAAGAGGCCACGGGAAGAGGAGGAAAAUGGAAGGGCCCCGCUGGUGCAGAGGCUUUUGCUCGUGUCAAGAAAAUUACAGAGGAGAGAUUCUCGGUGAUGCGGGAAUCUCCAAGUGCCUAUGGGAGAGGCCAUUUAAAAAAUGCGCCACAAGCAGCAAAACCACCCCCAGCUGAAAGACUGUCUGGUCUGACCCCAAGCUUGGAGAGGCUGAAGCUGGAACUAACAAGUAAGAGGUAGAAACUGGCAGAACAAAGAAAGAAAAACUGAUUGUAUGCCCCUUUUCCAGUGCCAACAGGAGCUUGUGACAGGCUGAGAUGGGAUGGCGAAGGAGGAGCAAAAUUUGAACUGAAUUUGGAAUUUUGUCAAAUUAAUUAAAUAAGUGAAAGUCCUUUGAGGACUAAAGAGACAGGAGGUCUUCUAAAGAUUAUCUAAUAGUAAAGUAACUACCAAUCAUUUAGUACAAGGAAGGGGGAAACCAACAUAAGCAGCCAGUUUACAGGAGAAGACGUGAGAAAAAUUAAAAUUGUUUUAAAAUUGCCUCCUAUGAAUUAUUUUCUUAAUGUUCAUGGUACAUAU
ensembl:lncRNA